ensembl:rRNA 5S_rRNA 5S ribosomal RNA
GACAUUUGAUAGACACUGUUGAAGCCACCUGGUCCCAGCAGACCCCAGAAGAUGGCCACAUUUUCUGGUGCUAGAACAAGGUCAUUAAGGGUGAAGCCUGGUGCCAGAUGUGU